UGCACCACAUGGGUUUGCGACUUUCCACGCUAAAUGAGAUGCUUAUAAAAAUACAUAUAGACAUUUGAAAUUCGCGCAUUUUUUGCAUGGCUUGUGCUAGACAGCAAUGCAUUCGUGCCGUGAAUCGCUCACGAAUAGCAGACAGAUUAGAACACCCGCAAGACACAUAGCAGGCUUAGACGGCGUUAUUGUAAUCAUACCUAGGAUUGACUGGUUAAUGCGCGAAAUAACCAACCGUUUUGGUCAAAGUCCGAAAUUAUUUUUUCAGUUUCUACCUUUGACCAACCAUGUUAGUCACUCCUAGGAUGGACUAAAAACAUAUCGGUCAAAGGCCGAAAUACAAAACUAUUUCGGGCUUUGACCAAAACGCUUGGUUAUUCCGGUUAUUGACCAGUCAAUCCUAAGGUUUGUUCUUUCUAUCUGAACUUCUGGUACUAGUUUAAAAAGUGUACACUAAAGCGUUCUUUUUAGCAGAAAUGACGUCAGUAGUCACUGUUCUUUUCAACAGUGCAGUAGAACUUAGUGCAAGAGUUCUCUGAACUGCUUGCCCUAGGUCUGGAGGUAGUGCACAGCGUGCAAAGCAGUACGAAGCAGUACAAUACGAGGUAUAUUUCAAGUUUAUUUGUAUUAAAAAAAAUUUACGAAUAUGGAAAAAGGAAUAAACUCAUAUAUUAAAAGAGAUGCAAGUGGAAAUAUUUUAGUAGACAUUAAUGGAAAUGUUACGUGUGAAUCUAAAGAUAUUAAAAUUAUUUAAAUAUAUAAAUUAUGAACAGAUAUUGUUUAUGUAAAUAUCAAUAGCUAUUCAGUAUCCUGAUAGCCAAAUCUGAAGAAACAUUAUGUGCAGAGUCUGUUGUUAGGACUUGAUGCCAGAAAGGCGACAGACUUCAAACAGACUCUUUAAUAUCUAACGAUGUCAACAAACUGCUACCAGAAAUCUAACAGGAUCUGUUGACGUUCUAUGUCAGCAGACUGGCAGCAGAAAUCGAGCAGACCCUGCUGCAAAACAACAGAGUCUGCUGGAUUUUUGUCAUCAAAAUGUUAACAGAAUGAAACAGAUGAGUUCAGUCUGCUAACAUUUCUAAUCAAAUUUGUUGCCAGUCUGUCGACAUUCUGUCAACAUUUGGCUAUUAGGGAUAACUAUAAAUUUAUGGAUAAAAAGAUAAAAAUGUUAAUAUAAUAUAAUACAAUACUUUUGUAGAAGGUGUACAAUUUCUAUUAAAAUAUAAGGAAAUAGAUUUUACUUGCGAUACAUUGCAAUGUACUGUUGAUGACCAAUUAAUAUUUAUUAAAUUACAUGAAAACAUAAACUCAACAAAUGAUACCAAUGAUCAACAAAAUGAUGAAAAUUAUGGUCAUGAGAACAUUAAUGAUUAUAAUGAAAAUUAUAUUAAUGAAAAUAAUACUAAUGAAGAAAACAAUGGUAAUAAAAUAAAUGAAGAUAAAAAAGAAACAUUUUUUUGGGACGAUGCAACGACAAAAUUGUUCUUGCAAUUAUACAAAGAAAAAAGUGAUUUAUUGGUAAAUAGAAAAAUUAGAACCAAGAAAAUGUUAUGGCAAAAAAUAACCGAAAGUAUGCAAAGAUAUGGAUAUAAUAUUACACUUAUACAAGUAGAAAACAAGUAUAAAUCUUUAGAAAGAAGUUACAAAAAUAUGAUUUUAAAUAAUAAUAAAACAGGCAGAGCUCGCAUAUCAUGUCCAUAUGAAACGCAGUUAACUGAACUUAUGGGUCAUAGGCACAACAUCCGUCCAUUGGCAGUAUCUGGAAAGCAAAGCUUACUUUUACGAGAGGAUGUCCAAAUUAACAAAUCUUUAAAAUCAAAUUGAUGUCAAUUUGGAAACCGAAUCAACAACAUCAAGCACUAUAUCGGAAAAUGUCGAACCUCCGCCAAGGGGAUCCUCUUCUCGAGAAGAAAUCUCGAAUAUAACUAUAAAUAACAUUGAAAAUAACUCUUUAAAUCAAUUGCAGACAGUAUCACAUAAUAGGCAAAGAAAAGAAAUAAGUAAUACGACAAGACCUUCAAAAAUGUGGCACAAAACAAUGGAACAACUUUUAAAUAAUAUUCAGCAAGAAAAGGCUAAAAAAAAUGAAGUACAACAACAGUUAAUAACGGAAUAUAAAGAGAUGAGAAAUACUUAUAAAGAAUCAAUGAAAAAAUAGAGGAACAACUAAUGAAGGCAAAUCAA